rnacentral:lncRNA from 1 species
UUCUUCCUCCAAGGAAAAAUCAAUGACCACCCAGCAGAAACCCAGUGACUGAAGCUUCUGUGGCUGUUGAGUUACAGAUGUGUCUGCAUGGAAAACUUUCCCUAAUCCCUUGGUGGAUGCUACACAGAAGCCCAGUUCCCAUCACAGGGGUGAGAAGUGUGUCCCUGCUGAUCCCACAGGCUGAGCACUGCUUUUGUGGGAUCCAUUCCUGAAGAAAUUGAAAUACUUUCUCUUAAGGUUUCCUGAGAAGGAAGAACAAACAAAUAGAUAAAAGUGAGUCUCUGGAGGCAUCCGAUUUUCUGGCCCAGAUGCUGAGUGAUCUGGAGAGACGCCGUGAUAUGGAAGGAGAGGCUGUGAUGAUGCCUCCGAUUCCCAGCAGAAGCAGUGUCUCUGUUCCAGCCUCUGCUGCAGGAAGGGAGGAGAUGCCAGGCACAGUCACAGGAGGUAAUUGCUGUGCCUCUGGGCCUGAGCCCUGCUGAGCCUUGAGCUGCCAUCUCUGCUGCUGGGCAGAGCGGGCACAGCCCGGACAGGAGCGGCACAGCCCAGAGAGCCAGCCCAGAGCUCCCCAGGCCCCUCUGCAGCUUUGGCCAUGUCCAUUCACAUCUGGCCCCCACAGCCUUACCCGACCCCCUUGCAGUGCCCAGUUCCCUAAGGCAGAAGGGCAUCCCAGCACACCAUGGAAAUGCUUCUCCUCUGUGCUCCCUUCUAGAUUUGGAUCGUGACUUGGACUAUUUAGAGUUCCUGGUGAAUGACAUUUCGAAGAUCUUGGACAAGGCUCGAGGCAAGUACUGAAUUUCCCUUGUUACUGACAGAAUAAUGCCAAGCUGGCAAAAGCUCACUCAUGAAGUUCUCGUUUAUGCCAAGUCAAGGUUGAUGGAUUCUAGAAACCUUGCCCUACUCCAUUCUGGAGCCUCCCCCCCCCCCCCCCCCCCCCCCCCCCCCCCCCCCCCCCCCCCCCCCCCCCCCCCCCCCCCCCCCCCCC